ensembl:snoRNA SNORD18 Small nucleolar RNA SNORD18
CCUUGAUGAUGAGUUCCACUUCAUGGUCCGUGUUUCUGAAUUCGAUGACGUUGCGGAAGUUCUGACAUU